GCCGGGCCGGAGAAGGAGCUGGGCGUCCCCAGGGACGGGACGGGCCGGGCUGGCGCUGCCCGCGCCGCUCACCCCGCGGGGCGCUUGGAGCGGCCGUGACACAACAAAAACCUGUGUGCUGUGCCUGCCCCCACCGCCAGAGGCAGCGGGAGAGCGCUAGCUGUGCUGAAAUGUGGGGGUUACCCCGGAACGCACCGAAGAUGAGUUGCAUGAAGUAGAAAUCACUCAGCUGUGAUCAACGGAUUGGAGAUGAUAAAAAUAUACGAGUUCUCAGUAACAUUUUCUAUUAGAAAAAGAAAACAGAAAGAAAAGCAACAGAGAAGAAGAUAAAGAGGAUAAAGGAGAUAAAGUGAGGGGACGGUGGCUCGAGUAAAUCCCGGUCAAGUGCAGUGCCCGCUUCCUUCGGCUGAGCCCCCGGCUCCUCACAGGCCCAAGGCAAGGAGGGUCUGAGGAGCUGCUCGGCUCUGAACAGCCCCAAAAUUCAAACACAGGAGAUAACUCACGUGCCAGGCCCAUGAGGAAUUGCAUAGGCUAGCUAAGGUCUUCUUAUCCUACCCACUCUGAAAGCAGCAGAGGUUUAGGAUACCACAAGUUAUGGAGAUUCCCAAAGAAAUCUUUCUUUCACUUUCUUAAACAUCACAGGCUGAAAGCAUGGAAGAGGUGAUGAAAACAAUGAGACAAACAAAGCAGAGUGAACAUUUGCAUUUUCAUCUUAAAGUGCAUCUCAAGACCCUGUAAAAAUUUGUCUUCUGGCUUGUGCAGACCAGGCCUGAGUGUGUUGUUGCUCUGGCCAACGUGAGGGAGUGCAGCCAACUUAUUGCAUGAAACAGGCAUGUAUUUCCCCUUGUGGAUCUUCCAACAGACAAAAACCAGAGACUGAAAAAUAAUAUCUGACCAUUUCAGCAGUGUUCUGCUAGGAAGAAAGAAAUUCUGUAAGAAAUCCUGCAGAAAUGACAAGGUUGCCAGUAAAAUGCUUUCUCGCUUACAGGGAUGUACUUUUUUCUUUUUUUCUUAUUUCAGAAAAAGGAAAUUGCUGUUCAGAAUUCCUCUGCCUCCAAUGUAGAUUAUUUUCAGAAUGCAGGACUCCAUAUGAGAGAGACACAUAUGAGUGCACACGCAUACCCUAAAGCAGAAUUGCAACAUUUACAUUUGUUUCCCGUCUUAAGCUCUCGCUGGGGACUAAAAUCAAUGAGAGUCUGCAUUGCACCCCAGAAGUGUCUGCUUUUCACUGGCAGUGACUACAAGAGGAGCACUGAAGGACUGACGGGAUGCUGACCCAUGGAAGACCAGCUAGAAUGCCUGAACUCUGCUUCCCAGUUGCACAAGCAAGAAGUGAAAUGUAGGUAGGUGUAGAAAACCCCAUAGGCAGACAUGAAGUGAGGAAAUGUUAACUACAAGCAGUUCUUUCUUCAGUGAGUGCAGGUUGGUUUCCAUCAGCAGGCUGGAAUCUCUACAUGUGAAAACUUGCUAUAAUUCUUGGGGUCUGCAGGCACCAAGCUCCAGUCUAACCCUAAUGACUUGGAAAAGUCAUUGCAUACCUUGCAAGGAGCUAGACCAUGUUUCAAAAGAGACUUUUUUUUACAGAAAUUCAGGUUUCAGUAGUGGGGCAGCAUGGGUGGAGUAUAACACGGUUCUUUAACCAAUGCCUCAUUCAAACUGAAUUUGCCUUAUUUCCCUUCCACUUUUCCAGAGGCUGGCUUUGACUCUUAAGAGUGAUGGCACAUAAAUUGUAGACUAAAAGGGGACUGUGCCAACCAAGUUUGUACAGAAAGAUCACCUUUAACAACAAAUUAGUAAGCUAUUAACUUU